rnacentral:snoRNA from 9 species
AGACUUCCAUGACAAUUCUGCUUUUGAGAAUUUAUGACUGAAAAAUCUGAUAUAUUGAUUUGA